CGAACGCUAGCGGGGGGCUUAACACAUGCAAGUCGAGCGAGAAAGCCAUCUUCGGACGGUGAGUAGAGCGGCGAACGGGUGAGUAACGCGUAGGCAAUCUACCCUAAGGUGGGGGAUAACCAGUCGAAAGACUGGCUAAUACCGCAUGAUAUCCGGAUAUCGCAUGGUAACCGGAUCAAAGAUUUAUCGCCAUAGGAUGAACCUGCGUCCCAUUAGCUUGUUGGUAGGGUAAUGGCCUACCAAGGCUACGAUGGGUAGCUGGUCUGAGAGGAUGAUCAGCCACACUGGGACUGAGAUACGGCCCAGACUCCUACGGGAGGCAGCAGUGAGGAAUAUUGCGCAAUGGACGAAAGUCUGACGCAGCCACCCCGCGUGCGGGAUGAAGCCCUUGCGGGUGUAAACCGCUGUUAGGGGAGACGAGUGCCUCUGUUUUGCAGAGGAGAGACGGUAUCCCCAGAGAAAGCUCCGGCUAACUCC
rnacentral:rRNA from 1 species